CCUACGGGGGACUGCAGUGAGGAAUAUUGGUCAAUGGACGAGAGUCUGAACCAGCCAAGUAGCGUGAAGGAUGACUGCCCUAUGGGUUGUAAACUUCUUUUAUAUGGGAAUAAAAUGUUCCACGUGUGGGCUUUUGUAUGUACCAUAUGAAUAAGGAUCGGCUAACGCCGUGCCAGCAGCCGCGGUAAUACGGAGGAUCCGAGCGUUAUCCGGAUUUAUUGGGUUUAAAGGGAGCGUAGGUGGAUUGUUAAGUCAGGUGUGAAAGUUUGCGGCUCAACCGUAAAAUUGCAGUUGAAACUGGCAGUCUUGAGUACAGUAGAGGUGGGCGGAAUUCGUGGUGUAGCGGUGAAAUGCUUAGAUAUCACGAAGAACUCCGAUUGCGAAGGCAGCUCACUGGACUGCAACUGACGCUGAGGCUCGAAAGUGUGGGUAUCAAACAGGAUUAGAUACCCCUGUAGUC
rnacentral:rRNA from 1 species